rnacentral:lncRNA from 1 species
GUAGAGAGUUUGAGAAACACAAGGCAAGCAAAAUCUCUUUAAAAGAAGUUUCACUGUGUGCUCAGAAGCCAUAGAAAAUUUAAAUUUAAAACUACUGGAAGAUGUUGAAAACAGGGGGACAAAAAGAGACCUGAAGGUGUUUCAGUCCACUGGCAAGGAGAGGUUCAUGAAUACGGUGCAACACACAGGAGUUCCAAAUGCCAGCUCAUGUCGCAAAAAUCAUCUUUUCUAAGAAAAAGCAUCUGUGCUGGGCAGGAGAUGCACCCAUUGGGCUGUCCACAGAAGAGGUCUGAGGGCGUGGAGAUCCACUGUGCAGAGAGUGAAGUCAAGCCACUUGCUGAAACCUGCUGGCCUCUACUGCUAAGCUCUGGGCUAGUUUUUUCUUCUAGAGGACAGGAGGGGGCUUUUUAGGUGUACAUACCUGCAAAGCUGUGUAUCACUGCCCACAAAACUGGCAUGGACACAGCAUCAGCAAGUGCUCUCUGAGGGGCCCUCAUCACACUAGGGGAGAAAUCCGCUGAUCUCAUCUUCACUGGUCUUUCUGUCUGACAGUUACUUCUCCUCCUUCUUUGCACAGGCCCUGGGGAAUUCACCCUUACUAAAAAAAUUCAAAAAUGUGCGUGUAGGACAUGCAGCUUUACAAUUUUGAUGUAUUCAUAAAGUCAUACAAAUACUGUUCUAGUAUGUGAGGUACUUGUCAGAGAGACAGUUUCAGUUAAAAUAGCUGACACACAUAUCUGGAUGGACAGAUGAACUAUGCUGGGGUGAAAAGUAUAAUCGUGCUUUUAAUAUUCAUGGUACAAGUACACGACAAUUCAGGUCUUUAGGGACAGGACAAUACAGAGCCAGAUAUGUUCAGAACAGUUGGAUGUCACUGGACAAACACAUGAUGUGAUCCCAGAAGCAAUGCUUCUCAGGACAUUAUUUUCUUAUAGGGACAAUGUCCUUGAUCUUGAAUAACUGCAGGUUUUAAGUGAAUAGUAUGUCAGUACUUUCCACUGAAAUCCUUUGACAUGACAACUUUAAAAUACACAAAACAAAUUCUGCUGAAGAAGAAAUUCAUUAACUACUGGAGCCCAAAAAGAAAUACCUCAUAAAUAAAUAUUUGCUAGUAUCUUACGUGGAUUAAAAA